AUGCAGAAGCACUGCUCCUUUGGGUUCUUCACGUUCCUGGAGCACGAGGACACCGCCACCUCCAUGGACAACAUGGACGACGCCGAGUUCUUCGGCCGCGUCCUCACCAUGAACUACGCCUUCCCCGAGAAAAUCAAGGGAGGGGAGCAGGGAUGGACCGCGCAGCCAGACAACAAGGUCACUUUGGUGCAAGCUAACCGUUUACAUGAUGCUUCGGCGAUGUGGAUUCCAGCUUACUUUGAUGUUUACAUGAGACUAUUUCCAGAUUACCUGAUCUAA
rnacentral:rRNA from 1 species